CACAACAGACGAAAUCCCCAAGGUGAUAAUGCUUCUACAAUGAGGGAAGGCAGCUUGACAUUCGCUCAUUGUCUCAUCUGAUAGUGACUCGAGAUUGUUGACGAAAUAUCGUCUUCUGCUACCUCUAGGUUUCGAUGGCCAUUGAUAAUUGGAGAGCAGCAAAGGAAUGUGACAGCUUUGUCUGGGCUAAAUGCCCUACUAGAUACAUAGGCUAUGACUAGAUAGAAUCCUCUUGGGUAACUUUGUCUGCUCCUAAGUUACACACGGUUACACAGUACACAUCAUAAGUUACUUAAAAAAAUCAAAACUAAUUUAGAAUAGGAUUUUGAGCUGAAGUUUUCAUGUGACCUCGAGGUGCUUGUGGCAAUAGAGAUUCAAUGGUCCAAUCAAAUAAUGCAAGCUAUGUCUUUUAAAGCUGAAUAGUUUCUACUGUCAUUUAAUGUUUAUAAUAAUAUUUCAGACAAAACCAAAAUAAUGCCGCUACUCAAGAGGUUGUGGUGUCCACCAUUAAGUUCUAAUUUAGGACAAUGUAACAUUGAUAGAUGAGGUAUUGCUUCCUGCUGCUAUAGUACAGUUUAAAAUAAUUUAAAUAUUCUCUCCUUUCAGGCUAAUCCCUCACCACUAAUAUUUGGGAUCUAACAAGAGAUUGCUGGAAUUGAAGACUGAUAAUUUGUGUAGAUAAAUUGUAAGUGCAUAUCUAGGCUCCCUUCCUUUCUGUAGCCUCGUUUUCCUAACUUAUCACUAACCAACGCCCGCCGGUUAUCACGCACCCGCUGUGACAAUCAGGAGGAAGGUUAUGGUCGAACGGGGAUUCGGAAGGCGAAUGAUAGAAGAAAAUAUUUGGAGGGUUAUAAUUUUUAUCAGCAAGUUUCUAUUACCGUUACGUUUAUCAUUAACAUUUUCAGCAAAUUUAGUCUAGCAUUAGGCAACUUUCAUUUACUUA